rnacentral:rRNA from 1 species
UACGGAGGGAGCUAGCGUUGUUCGGAAUUACUGGGCGUAAAGCGCGCGUAGGCGGCUUUGUAAGUUAGAGGUGAAAGCCCGGGGCUCAACCCCGGAACAGCCUUUAAGACUGCAUCGCUAGAAUCCGGGAGAGGUGAGUGGAAUUCCGAGUGUAGAGGUGAAAUUCGUAGAUAUUCGGAAGAACACCAGUGGCGAAGGCGGCUCACUGGACCGGCAUUGACGCUGAGGUGCGAAAGCAUGGGGAGCGAACAGG